GACGAACGCUGGCGGCGUGCUUAACACAUGCAAGUCGAACGGAAAGGCCCUGCUUUUGUGGGGUGCUCGAGUGGCGAACGGGUGAGUAACACGUGAGUAACCUGCCCUUGACUUUGGGAUAACUUCAGGAAACUGGGGCUAAUACCGGAUAGGAGCUCCUGCUGCAUGGGCGGGGUUGGUAAGUUUCGGCGGUUGGGGAUGGACUCGCGGCUUAUCAGCUUGUUGGUGGGGUAGUGUAUUACCAAGGCUUUGACGGGUAGCCGGCCUGAGAGGGUGACCGGCCACGUUGGAGCUGAGAUGCGGCCCAGACUCCUACGGGAGGCAGCAGAGGGGAAUAUUGCACAAUGGGCGGAAGCCUAAUGCAGCAACGCCGCGUGCGGGAAGACGGCCUUCGGGUUGUAAACCGAUUUCGCCUGUGACGAAGCGUGAGUGACGGUAAUGGGUAAAGAAGCACCGGCUAACUACGUG
rnacentral:rRNA from 1 species